UGUGUGUGUGUGUGUGUGUGUGCGCCACAGUACGUAUUGGCGUUUUUCACUUGAGCACCAGAAAGCUGAGUAUAGUGAGCGAACAUCGUGUGGAGUGAAUCGUGCAGGUCUGAAGCAAGUCUCGUGAACAUGUCACGGCAGCGCCCCCAAGAAACCUAUCGCCAAAGGGGCGAUGAAAACUUGUUUGAGCGAGGACGAGGGUGGGGGCGACGAAGCAGCGCUGCAGAGCAUGACUUCAGUGAGGACUGCUUCAUCAUACUGCACUUCAAGAAGUAUGAGGGGGAGGCCCCACCACUGCCCCG